GGAAUCUUUGCUUAGUGGUAUGGCAUCUGCCUUACAUAUAGAAGGUCCCAGAUUGAAUCCCUGGCAUCUCCA